rnacentral:rRNA from 1 species
CGGCGCACGGGUGCGCACCGCGUAUGGAACCUACCUUUUACAGAGGGAUAGCCCAGGGAAACUUGGAUUAAUACCUCAUGGUAUCAUUUUUUAGCAUUAUUAAAUGAUUAAAGACUUCGGUCGGUAAAAGAUGGCCAUGCGUCCCAUUAGCUAGAUGGUAAGGUAACGGCUUACCAUGGCUACGAUGGGUAGGGGCCCUGAGAGGGGGAUCCCCCACACUGGUACUGAGACACGGACCAGACUCCUACGGGAGGCAGCAGUGAGGAAUAUUGGACAAUGGAGGAGACUCUGAUCCAGCCAUGCCGCGUGCAGGAAGAAUGCCCUAUGGGUAGUAAACUGCUUUUAUACAGGAAGAAAAAAGAGUACGUGUACUCUACUGACGGUACUGUAAGAAUAAGGACCGGCUAACUCCGUGCCAGCAGCCGCGGUAAUACGGAGGGUCCGAGCGUUAUCCGGAAUUAUUGGGUUUAAAGGGUCCGUAGGCGGGUCAAUAAGUCAGGGGUGAAAGUUUGCAGCUCAACUGUAAAAUUGCCUUUGAUACUGUUGGUCUUGAGUUAUAGUGAAGUUGCCGGAAUAUGUAGUGUAGCGGUGAAAUGCAUAGAUAUUACAUAGAACACCGAUUGCGAAGGCAGGUGACUAACUAUAUACUGACGCUGAUGGACGAAAGCGUGGGGAGCGAACAGGAUUAGAUACCCUGGUAGUCCACGCCGUAAACGAUGGAUACUAGCUGUCCGAGACCUUGAGUCUUGGGCGGCCAAGCGAAAGUGAUAAGUAUCCCACCUGGGGAGUACGUUCGCAAGAAUGAAACUCAAAGGAAUUGACGGGGGCCCGCACAAGCGGUGGAGCAUGUGGUUUAAUUCGAUGAUACGCGAGGAACCUUACCAGGGCUUAAAUGUAGAUUGACAGGACUAGAGAUAGUUUUUCCUUCGGGCAAUUUACAAGGUGCUGCAUGGUUGUCGUCAGCUCGUGCCGUGAGGUGUCAGGUUAAGUCCUAUAACGAGCGCAACCCCUGCCGUUAGUUGCCAGCAUGUUAAGAUGGGGACUCUAACGGGACUGCCGGUGCAAACCGUGAGGAAGGUGGGGAUGACGUCAAAUCAUCACGGCCCUUACGUCCUGGGCCACACACGUGCUACAAUGGUCGGUACAGAGAGCAGCCAUGUUGCAAGACAGAGCGAAUCUAUAAAACCGAUCACAGUUCGGAUCGGGGUCUGCAACUCGACCCCGUGAAGCUGGAAUCGCUAGUAAUCGGAUAUCAGCCAUGAUCCGGUGAAUACGUUCCCGGGCCUUGUACACACCGCCCGUCAAGCCAUGGAAGCCGGGAGUGCCUGAA